rnacentral:rRNA from 1 species
UACGUAGGCAGCGAGCGUUGUUCGGAGUUACUGGGCGUAAAGCGUGCGCAGGCGGCUUUCCAAGUCAGUGGUGAAAGCCCGGAGCUCAACUCCCGGAAAUGCCAUUGAAAACUGUGAAGCUUGAGAACGAGAGAGGUGAGUGGAAUUCCCAGUGUAGAGGUGAAAAUUUCGUAGAUAUUGGGAAGAACACCAGUGGCGAAGGCGGCAUCACUGGCUCGUAACUGACGCUCAUGCACGACAGCGUGGGGAUCAAACAGG